UAAGGGAUUGAGGAAAGAACUGGAGCAAAGAGGCACGAGAAGGAGGGAUUCGAAUUCGAAUUUGAGGUAAGUUUUCGUGGCUAUGAACCAAAUCUUCUUCAAGUGAUUUUACCUCAAAUGUUAAUGGAUUUCCAUGAUUUCAGUGGCUAUAGUUUUGUGUGAGGAAGCUUUACACAAUUUGUAAAGGAACUGAGACUUGAACGUACUUGUAGGGAGAGAUCAAGUUGAGAGAUUGAAGGUUCGUGGUGAAGUGUGAAGGAUUGAGGUGUGUAAGGCCUUCAUCAGAGUUGAGGAAACUGGGAGGUUCAAAAUACAAAAUAUUGUUCAUGGCUGGAGGUUAGGAAGUUGUGGAAUUGGAAUACUGAAUCAUGAAAUUUACUCUUGAGGUGAAAUAUAUACUCCAUGGAAAUGGAUGAAUGGGCAUCUUUAUCCCACCUUUUGCAGAGUUACUCAGUCGGAGAAAGGGAACUGGUGGGUGUGAACUUUUCAGAAAAGUGGGACUUUUACCACAGGUUAUUUAACCAAACAGCUUGCAUCUACCGGCAAUAUGGUAAAAUUCAAAUUCUACAAACUAUUACGGAGGGGGCAAUCUCUCAAGGAUGUCAAGUUCCUUAUUUGAGAGCUAAGUCAUGCUUGCAUUAACACUUUGAAAAUCUCCAUGGAUUACAAUUUCUCCAAGUUGCUGCCACUAAUGAUGAACAAUCAUGAGACGAAUUCAUUUAUCUAGCCAGUCUACCUACAAUUCAACAUUCUGGAACUUCUUACAAGAUGCCUUUGGUGGAGUUUUACAAGACCAGGAGAUACUUUCACCCUCCUUGAUGCGUCCCUCAUCAGCCAUCCAUUCAAGAAAGAGACAAAGAUCCUAUGAAAGAGAGUAAUUUGGGCUUUCUAUUGGAACUUAUGGCAGGAAAGAAAUGCACAGAUCUUCACAGAUAAGCAACAAAGCACCUAAACUUCGCAUAUAAUCUUUUCUUGCUUAAACAUGGAAAACGAUUUCGUCAUUUGUAACUAUAGUCUAUCGUCCCUCGAGACACAUUGGGGGUAUGUUUGU